GAUGAAGAACGCAGCGAAAUGCGAUACGUAGUGUGAAUUGCAGAAUUCAGUGAAUCAUCGAAUCUUUGAACGCACAUUGCACCUCUCGGUAUUCCGGGAGGUAUGCCUGUUCGAGCGUCAUUUGUACCCUCAAGCUCUGCUUGGUGUUGGGUGUUUGUUCCGCCUCUGUGUGUGAACUCGCCUCAAAACAAUUGGCAGCCGGCGUACUUGUUUCGGAGCGCAGCACAUUUUGCAAUCCAGAUCAACGUACAGCGGCAUCCAAGAAGCCUUAUUUUUAACGCUCUUGACCUCGGAUCAGGUAGGGAUACCCGCUGAACUUAAGCAUAUCAAUAAGCGGAGGA
rnacentral:misc_RNA from 1 species